GUCAAGAGCGAGAAAAUGCCUGAACAAGUUCGAUCCCAUUUGAUCUUGGAAGCUAAGCAGGGACAGGCCUGGUUAGUACUUCAAUGGGAGACCAACUACGAAGACCAGAUGCUGUAGGCG
rnacentral:rRNA from 1 species